AUGAGAAAUGAGGAUAAAAUUCCAUACGGUUCUGUUAUAGAUGAUGAAACAAACAUGCACUACCAUCUGAUCUCUU